CAGGUCCUGUGACAACAGGUACGGGCCAGCAUUGGGACAGGCUUUGCCUGUAAGAGGGCUGGUCUGGGGGGACAUCUGAACCCAAUUCAGGAACACCUCACAGGUCUGCCAGCAGGGCUAGACCCGGGGUGAGAUCCAGGGCAACAGGGUCUGCCUGGGAAGCUCAGCUCCGGCACUGCCUGGGGCGUCUCUGCCUACACAGGACCAUUCCUCUCGCCUGGACUCCUCUUGGAGUUUGCCAAGGCUGGCCUCUGCAGAAAUAGGAGACUCCUGGAGGAAGACAGUGGACUUCAGCAAGCUGCACCAAGGAGAAUCCACAGCGGCAGCUGCCCUGCCAGGCGCGGGAUCUCGGUCAAGGUGGAUCAACACAGCCUCAGGUGUGUGCUCUGCCCCACUGAGAUGGCAAGUGCAUUCUUUUCUAUUCCUACGAGGAAAGAGCAUCCGAAAGAGCCUGCCUUCACAUAGGAUGAAUAACAGUGGACCUUGGCUUUGCCUCAGUGUUAUGUGCUAAUAAACCAUGUAUUCUAUGCCCUAAGGAAGCCCAGAGAGAACUGGACAAGCUGGAUAUCCCAAAGAGCAUGGCACUGGCCCACCACAUUGAUUACAUUGCGCUGGCCGGGUGCUAACCAAGAAGCAGCUAACACACUGGGAGUCUUGGUAAGAUGCCUGAGUGCCUGCAGCUGGCAGACAAAUCCUACAAAGAUUCUGGGAACUGCCACUAAUAACACUCUUGGUGGGGAGGUCCCAUAUCCCAUAACCAGGAGCAUACUGGGCCUCCUGUCCACAGCAAAGAGCCAAUUACUGCAUCUUGCAUCUCCCAUGACCAAGAGAGACAGACAAUGCCAGUACGCCUUCUGGAGGCAGCACGUUCCACACACAUGAAGACUACUCCAGCCUAUGUACCAUUGAUAGGAGAAGCUGUCGGCCUUCCCUGAGCCUGCAGCAGGUCGAGGCUGCAGUGCUGGCAGCCCUGUGACUCAGGCCCUGCAGCUGGUCGGACCCUGUGUUAUGAGAGGUAUCAGACGUGGGAAAGCAAUGCUGUGUGUUUAUGGCAAACCACUAUGCCAGAAUCACAGUGCAGGCCCCUGGGAUUCAGAAACAAAGCCGUGCCAUCUGCGGCAGAGGAUUCUGCGAAAAAUUCUGAAAAGUCCCUGUUGAUGUGCUCCUGGGGCCUGGGGUGAUGGAAUACCUGAUUGUGCAUGUGGAACUGCUCAGAUGAGCUGGAUUCUGUCUCACCCCUGGGUCAUGAGGUUGGGGACUCAGAAAUAACCCAUCACAGGUGGGAGUGUGCGUGUGGCAGCAGCAGAAGCAGGAGCAGGAGGCCAAGCAGCGGCAGCUGCCCAGUACCCCCCCCCACCCUCCACAGCAGUCCCCACAGCCCCAGUGGAGGAACCUUCUGGUGAACUGAGGAGGGAGGGACAAGCCCGGCCUCAGUUCAUGGAGGUGUCUGCUCUGCCUGUGGGGCCAGCCCAAAUCGCCUGGCUGCCAUACUCCAGUCUCAGCAAGCUGCCCUUUAAAGAGGGUGAUAUGGUUUGGCUCUGUGUCCCCACCCAAAUCUCAUCUUGAACUGUAAUCCCCAGGUGAUGAGGGUGAGACCUGAUGGGAAGUGAUUGGAUCAUGGGGGCUGUUUUCCCCAUGCUGUUCUCGUGAUAGUGAAGGAGUUCUCAUGAGAUCUGAUGGUUUUAUAA
rnacentral:lncRNA from 1 species